GUUCCUUUCGCCCAAUCCCCUCUCUUGAUAGGAGCUUACCUCAGAGUAGUCAAUUAUCAAAGCUCCCCCUAGAUCAUCAAUCAUGUGAGAAUAUUGAAGUUUAGAGGAGGAGCAACGCUCCGGCCAUCGAUUACUGUGAACCCCCCUUUUCUCCUUUUUUUGUACUUUUAGCCACAACACAUAAGCAGGCCAUCUAUGCCUUUAGCUCUAUCAGCGCUAAUAUGCCCUCAUUGCUGUAUUGAUAGGUUCAACACAUAAUAAAGGCUCCUUUUGGAGCUCGGUGACAUUUUUUGAUGGUGGAAAUUAAUUAUUCACCGGUUAGGAUUAAGCGCUCAGGGAGAUGGGCUGUGGCUACUGUUGGAGGGUCAACAACUCUCCCAGCAAACAAAAAUGGCCAACCAGUGCUGGAUAUAGGGUCGACUGACAGCAGAGUUGAGCAACAAAGGAAAAUGAUUUAAUAAAUGAAACCGUGACCACAGUUAUGUUUGUUGGAAUAAAGUGAGGAGGGGGUGGGUGGGGUGUGCAGGACAGCAGGCUUUGACAAACUGCUAUAUGUGUGGACAUUUCGACGCGCAAUACCCCGGGAAGGAGCUGGAGAGCUGCGCGCAGAGAGAGCCAAGUCGCUUACCGUCUCCAGGUUUCUGUGUGCGCUCUGUAAACACAGCCAGUCCGGCGCACAGUGCCUCUGAAGACUCUGACUCUCAUAACCUAAAUACUGCCGAUCUCAAUUACUUGUGUGCUAACGCUUGCGUUUCUUAUUUUAUUUUUGACAACCACUAUUCUUUUGGAUCAACCAUGGUCCCACCAUGUCUGAAUUGUCAGCUGGUUUCCUCCAAGGACAUCGCUGGGAAGUCAGCCUGAACGCAGCUGCAUUCACGUGGAGCGACGCGUUUUGAUAUUCAGGUCACACAGGGGAGCAAACACUACUCUCCUGCUCAAUAAACAUCAUUGAUAAAGCUGCAUAUCCGGCCAUUUUCAAAUACUGAUUUUAACAAAGUAACACUAGUUAAUAUUUGUAAAUGCUUAGAUGUGUCUUUUUGAGCUUUAUUUAAUCUGUUCAUUUAAAUGUAAAAUUUUAAAAUGCUUUAGUUUUGAAAGUGUCCUCUUUAUUGUGUCCACAUUAAAGUCAUAGAAAGUUGA